UUUUGUGUGUGCAUUCGACGCUCGUAUGUGCAAUUGUCAAUUCAUGGUGGGGACAGACCAUUGUUAAUUGUUGGUCUCGGUCUUAACUAGGAAUGCCUUGUACGGGUCUUUGGUUCAACAAACCACCCGGAAUACGUCCCUGCCCUUUGUACACACCGCCCGUCGCUCUUACCGAUGGACUUCUCUGUGAGUUUGAGGGACUGGAUUUUAUAUCUAUGGAAACUCAAACGAACCRGUGUGGU
rnacentral:rRNA from 1 species